GGGGUAACUACAGCGGCUAACGACUGAGCUUCCAUGGUGCGGAGCCGUGCUUCUAGCUCACUAAGCCUCGCCUCCAAUUUAUCAAAUAUACUACACUUCUUACAUGUACCGUUAUCGGUAAGGGAGGCAGAGGAAUAGCUAAACAUGUGACACACCGAGCAAGAAAGAGCAGGAGAGGCAGGGAGGGAAGACAUCACCAGGUUAGCUGCUAAGCUAAUGCUAACGCUAAUAGAAGUAACGUUGCCGCUAAACAACGUCCAAGCAACUAUUCGAUGGAGCGAAAAUUUGCUAGACGGUGAGGCGUUUAACAGCGCCUCACAUAGAUAAGAAUUCACCGUUGUGAUGAAAAAUAUCACGCUACAGUCAACUCAGUAUAGCUAGAGCUGUGAAAAGUUUGAUGACAUCAAACACGCUGGUAACAGGAAGUGACGCAACACGCUUACCGUAAGCACAGGGAACAGCACCGUUGUGAGAGUUCCUUUGCUUCAGAGCCCUUCAGAUGCUCACACACUAUUUGCCUCCUACUGCAUCGGGGAGGGCUAAAGGAUGGGCCAAAUGCAGUGUGAAAUCGGCCCUUUCGUACAUCUUGGACAUAAAACCGGUAAGAAAAUUCCAUCUCAAGUAUCAGCACAUGCUAAUCCAUCUUUUACAUUGGCUAAAGGGCUAUGUCUGACUUUUUCAAUAUAUGCAAUCACAUGUUUGAUAAUCCUGUUGUUAAUUAUUCUGGACUACAUGGUAAGGGGAUGUAUGCUACAGUAUUACAAGUUUAGCAUUGGGAUUUUGACAUAUAUUCUGAAUUUUGUGUAUUUGAUAUCAGCCCUUAAGAGCCCUAUUUGUUAUACAUGUUCUUUCCUAGACUGGAACAAGCAUACCAAGCCUUCUAGAGGGAUCUCCUGAGGAAGCAGUGGGAGUCCACCAGCCCAAGCUGGUGUGUUUAGGGCACCCCAGGACAGUUGCUCAGUACGUCGUCAUUGCAAAGAACGACAAUGUCGCCAUCCCCCUUCAAGACGAAGGUUUGACAUGUGCCAUUGACAAACUGUUCAAAGUUUUCUGGGUUUGCAACAUGGCAUAUCCUGCCCAACUCGAAUCAGUCUACAGUUUCUUUGAGUAUGUUUAUGACAUGCCCAUCUCAGGUGGGAAGAGAUCAAAAGUUGUGGAACUUAUUGCAAAGCUCCAGGCAGUAUUGUUGUAAGUUGUACCACCAUGUACAGUUGUCCCAAAUGCAAGAAAUCCAUUUCGAAACAAGUCAGGACACUUAUUAGACAUCUUAGGCAAGUUCAUGCAAUUUCAGAUGGACAGGAUUAUACAAUUGUAGUCAGAACCACUGUCAAAGAACUUACCAUAACUUUAAUUCUUAUGCCAGACAUAUAAACAGGGAACACACUCAGGUUGCAAACCCAGUAAAUUUGGAACAAAUGGUCAAUUUUGGUAAUGGGUCGGAAGAUGUUUCUAUGUCAUGCUCCAACGCAAUGAAAACUCCACAAACAGAUUCGGAAACUUCAAUGGAUUGUCAUGUUUCAGACCAUCGUGAGACUGCAGCUUCCUUUGUUGCCAAAAUGUACUGUGCAUCAAAUUCCACCCUAACCGAUGUGCAAAAAAGCAUUGCUUGCACUAAAGAGCUACUGGAAAAGACAUUGGACGAUUUAAAGGAUAAAACUGCAUCUGUAAUUGAUAGCUACUCUUUGUCAAAUCUUUAAUGCAGGAUUUUGAAAAUGCACGAAACAUGUUUUCCGAGGUGGAUACUCGGAAUAUAUGAAAAUAUAAUAAAUAAAUAUUUUUCUGAAAAACACUCUUGUGAAGCCCACAGAAAUUUUCUUAGGGUACAGAGGCGACACGGCAAGAAAGCAGGGGAAAUUGAAGUACUGGCUGCAGACACUUGCCAGUAUAUCCCCAUUAUUGACACCAUAAAGUUUCUCUUUAAAAGUGAAAAGAUGCAGAGACUCUCUCAGCAAUCUAAAAAAGGUGUUGAUGGUAAAAUGCAUGAUUAUUGUGAUGGCACACAGUUUACACAUCAUGCAUUAUACAAUAGAUAUCCUAAUGCCCUACAAAUCCAACUUUAUUUUGAUGACUUGGAAACGACUAAUCCUUUAGGUUCAAAAACCAAAGUUCACAAAAUGGGAGCAGUUUACUUUUGCUUGAGAAACUUGCCCGUGCAAUUCAACUCAUCCCUUGCAAACAUUCACCUUUGUCUACUCUUCAAUGCUAUGCUAUAGACAGAGAGUAUGUAGUAGAGGUAUAUGGCUUUGGCAAAAUACUAGAGCCUUUGUUGGAUGACAUUCAAUUUCUUGAAACAGAAGGGAUAGAGGUUGAGUUGUUUAAAUUGAUGUAUUUACUGCAUUUUGUCUAUACAAAUGUUAGUUUGCAGUGGUCAUUUGGGAAAAACAAAUAUGUGAACAUCUGUCAAAUGUUUUAAUAUGAAAUUAAUCAAAUAAAAUUGUGACCUAAAUGUCUUAGUUGUUUAUUGUGAGUGUUUUAGAGCAUAUUUACCAUGAAAAAAUUGCAUUUUAAGAAUGCUUUUUAGAAAAAGUAUAAAUCUUAUUUUUAACACAUCUUUUGUGUUAAAUUAACACAUCUUUUGGGUUAUUUUAACACAUUGUUAUGUUGAAAUAUAGAACACACAACGUGUGUUAAAUGUUCUGACACACUGGCUGUGUUAAAAGCAACACAGAAUGUGUUGUCCUUAACUAGACACACAGAUGUGUUAAAAAUUAACACAUGAUGUGUUAUUUUUAACACAUCUGUUUUGAGAGUGUAGCUACUCGCUGGAAUUCCGUUUUUUACAUGCUGGAGAGGCUCUUUGAGCAAAAGGAAGCUGCGACCACAGCCCUCUGCCUUUUAGGGAGGAACACAUUGUGCUUAGAUGAGGGAGAAUUAUCCCUCAUCAAGCAAACAGUUGAUGCACUAUGGCCAAUUCAAGAAGUGACACGAGAGGUUUCAUCUGAAAAGUAUGUUUCAGUCUCCAAAGUGAUUCCGCUUGUGUCACUUAUUCACAGGGCUGUAGCAGCCUGUGAACGUCAAGGCAGCUCCCUUGCCACACAACUGGCACAGCAAUGUCAGUGCAGAUUCAGGGGUAUUCAGAGAAUUUACUGUCUAGCUGCCAGUACAUUUCUGGAUGUUAGAUUCAAACAUGUUGGUUUUCGAGACAAAGACAAUGUGGAGGUAAUGAAAAAGCGUCUCCUUUCUGAAAUACAGGAAUUCUAUCAGACAGGACAGGCAGCUCCCAGUUUAGCCCCAAGCUCAACAGCUACUGUUAGCUCUACCUCAGGGCCUUCUUCCUCUGGGCCUUCUGCCUCAGAGCCAAACCAGAGUCCUGCCCCCUCAGGUUCAGCUGUAUUAAAAGGAGGCAUAUGGACUGAUUUUGACAUGCAGGUUUUGUCAGGACAACAUCGCCGGUCAGCUACCAGCAAUGUGCUCAUUGAAGUACGUCGGUACUCAGAAGAAAAAGUGAUUCCCAGAGACAGGGAUGCACUGGUUUGGUGGAAAGAACAUGACCAAACCUUCCCAGCCCUGAGCAAACUAGCAGUGAGAUACCUGGGAAUUACUGCCACUUCUGUACCAGCAGAGAGUCUUUUCAAAGGCAGGAGAGGUUUUUAGUGAUGGAAACACCUUUUUCAAACACUCCAGGACUCCUGGCUCUCAAAGGGGAUUUACAAGGACUGGCUGGUUAAGGAAAUCCACACAGUAAAUUUGCCAGUGUCAAAAAGGCAGUGUCAAACUAUUUUAAUUCUUCCGGAGUUCUUCCAACAAUGGACAGAGUAAAAUUGAACCAGAAAACUUCCAGUGUUGGUGAAAAUAAUCGGAGUUAACAGAGGUUUUACUCUGUCAGUGUUAUUGACUCUCUCAGGCCCUGAUUCAACACUGAUUAGAGCAAGAUACCUUCCAGAGUAUCACAAAAAAUACUCUGGAAAGCCCCGCCCACCAACUUUCCCGGUCAAACUGAGAAUGUGGAUUCUGGCAUCGCCAUCUUCCUCGCAUCGAAAUACUGUGGUAAGUCUUUCUACUAUAAACUAUUCCCGUUGUUUUUCUUCAUUCCAGUAGAAUCUGUAUAAGAAUAAAGGGACGUAUUCAUUCACCACACUAGUCAAUGUUGGGUACGUGUCUUCAAAUACCGAAUUUCAAAUGGCUAACGUGAUUAUCGGGUGGGUGGUUAGCUUAAAUGUAGCAGCCACAUGUCUGACCUCGCAACACCAAACUGAACAAAAACGACACGAGGUAACGUUAAUGUCAGCGAGGACGAGCUGUCGUGGUGUGUUAUGUGUCAUGCUUGCACAUUUAUUUCAGUAAAAUGACGACAAAAAUUCGUUGAAGCAGUCAUAUUUAUUAUUUCUAUUUGAGCCGGAGCAAAUCGCUUUAGCGUCACGUCACAAUUUGGUCGAGCAUAGCGGGACAUGUCGCGGACAUGCGGACGUGCUCAUAGGACCCGCUAGUUCACCGGCAGACUGCGGAAUGCACCGAGUCGACCCAGUUAACGUGAACGGAGCCGCGGCUCCGAGAGGCUCGGUUCCCGUUAGCUGCUGCUGUAGCCAUAGAUAUAUAAAGAGUAGACGCUGCAUUGGCUGCUGAGGCGCAAAAAAAAACAAAUAUUUUUUAUUAUAUUAUAUACCAGAAUAUUAUUACUGUUACGCCUACUAUGAAUAUUAAAAUACGCCGAAUCAUGUUUUCGGUGUCAUGCCUACAAAAUCCCGUGAACAUCCGCUUUUGUAUUCAGCGAGUGAUGCGCUGACACUUCGUUGCGCCAGCUGGCACUGAGUGGAGCGGGUGACCGGUCCAAGUUGGCGGCCCCGCGGCUCGUCAGCACCACUAGGCAGCAGCGGUCGAUGUAUAUUCUUUAUGUCUAUGGCUGUAGCUGCUGUAAGCUUAAUGUAUGCUUCCACGUUACGGCGGCGGCGUAACCCCGUCAUUGAGCAAGUUCUCCGUUGCUCUGCAGUUCCCCCCCAUGCCGCUAGGCGGGUGUGGCUGUGUGUUUCUGCGGGUGCCGAAUCCUUGGUGAGCCGAAUCUCAUAUUGAAGCGCAGGCUAUGGAGAAGACGUGAAUUUACAACACUGGUUCACCCACUGAGGGACCUGGACGAGCAAGUGCACUUUCGAUACUUUCGAAUGUCAGCAACUGCCGCAAAUUACGUUCUGAGCGGACCAAUCACAGCACUUGCGGUCCACGUCAACUCGACUCGCAGUUAGAUUUUUUCGGAGGUGCACGUCAGGCUACGGCGGAGGAGUCUACGUAGUUACUUAUUAUGUAUAUUUUCCUUUUUUCUUUCAGGUUGUUCUUUAAUGUACUGUGGUGCUCUGGUGAUACCAUCAUGUUGAUCAAAACAGUCCUGUCAUCCAGCACCAACCAAGAUCUUUGCCACUGUGAUAAGAUGUGAGCUUUACAUGUUUUAGGUUUACUUUUGAUGCCAAUAUUUCAUGUUUACUUGGAAUAAAUAUGUAUUACAGUAUGGAUACAAUUGUCUGUGUGUUUUUCCCCCUGCAUAGAUAUGCAACACUGGUAGGAGUUGGUUAAAAAUCAACACUCUUUGGAGUGAUUUCAUAAUCAACAUAGUGUAAAGUAGGUUUAACACUGGAAAGGUUAUUUCUUUUAUAACUAUUUAGUGUUACAUGUGAAUAACACUAUGGGUGUUACUUCUUACAUAGUGUAAAACUUGAUUGACACUUCUUAGAGUUAAUAUUAUUACACUACACUGCACCUAGUGUAAAAUUUUAACUCUAACCAGAGUAAAAUUGACUCUGGAAAUUUAACUCUGUGUUCAGUGUACAUUUAACACUCUGUAGAUAGGGACCAUAUGUUCACUGAGGUAGUGUUAAAAUUGACUCUUUAAGUGUUGUAUUAACACUGGCGAUUUUACUGUGU
ensembl:lncRNA